GAUGAACGCUGGCGGCGUGCUUAACACAUGCAAGUCGAACGAAGCACCUUGGAAUGCGCCUUCGGACAAGUGAAUUGGUGACUUAGUGGCGGACGGGUGAGUAACGCGUGGGUAACCUGCCUCACACAGGGGGAUAACAGGUAGAAAUGACUGCUAAAGACGCAUAACAUGGCGCGACCGCAUGAACUUGCCAUCAAAUAUUUAUAGGUGUGGGAUGGGCCCGCGUCUGAUUAGCUAGUUGGUGAGGUAAUGGCUCACCAAGGCGACGAUCAGUAGCCGGCUUGAGAGAGUGAACGGCCACAUUGGGACUGAGACACGGCCCAAACUCCUACGGGAGGCAGCAGUGGGGGAUAUUGGACAAUGGGGGAAACCCUGAUCCAGCGACGCCGCGUGAGUGAAGAAGUAUUUCGGUAUGUAAAGCUCUAUCAGCAGGGAAGAAAAAUAACCAAAUUGACUGUACCUGACUAAGAAGCCCCGGCUAACUACGUGCCAGCCGCCGCCGUAAAAC
rnacentral:rRNA from 1 species